UACGUAGGGUCCGAGCGUUGUCCGGAAUUAUUGGGGCGUAAAGGGCUCGUAGGCGUCUGUUGCGUCGGGAGUGAAAACUUACAGCUUAACUGUGAGCGUGCUUCCGAUACGGGCAGACUUGAGGUAUUCAGGGGAGAACGGAAUUCCUGGUGUGAGCGGUGAAAUGACGCAGAUAUCAGGAGGAACACCGGGUGGCGAAAGCGACUCUCUGGACGGCAACUGACGCUGAGGCACGAAAGCGUGGGGAGCAAACAGG
rnacentral:rRNA from 1 species